rnacentral:rRNA from 1 species
AGGAUGAACGCUAGCUACAGGCUUAACACAUGCAAGUCGAGGGGCAGCAUGAACUUAGCUUGCUAAGUUUGAUGGCGACCGGCGCACGGGUGAGUAACACGUAUCCAACCUGCCGAUGACUCGGGGAUAGCCUUUCGAAAGAAAGAUUAAUACCCGAUGGCAUAGUUCUUCCGCAUGGUGGAACUAUUAAAGAAUUUCGGUCAUCGAUGGGGAUGCGUUCCAUUAGGUUGUUGGCGGGGUAACGGCCCACCAAGCCUUCGAUGGAUAGGGGUUCUGAGAGGAAGGUCCCCCACAUUGGAACUGAGACACGGUCCAAACUCCUACGGGAGGCAGCAGUGAGGAAUAUUGGUCAAUGGACGAGAGUCUGAACCAGCCAAGUAGCGUGAAGGAUGACUGCCCUAUGGGUUGUAAACUUCUUUUAUACGGGAAUAAAGUGAGGCACGUGUGCCUUUUUGUAUGUACCGUAUGAAUAAGGAUCGGCUAACUCCGUGCCAGCAGCCGCGGUAAUACGGAGGAUCCGAGCGUUAUCCG